rnacentral:misc_RNA from 1 species
UCCGAGUUGACCCCGGCAGUCUCCUGCGAGUCCCCGCCAUUACGCGCUGGCAACACAGGACAAGGGUUGCGCUCGUUGCGGGACUUAACCCAACAUCUCACGACACGAGCUGACGACAGCCAUGCAGCACCUCGACUUCAGUCCCUUGCGGGAAAGGCUUCGUUUCCAAAGCCGGUCCAAAGCCGUUCGAGCCCAGGUAAGGUUCUUCGCGUUGCGUCGAAUUAAACCACAUGCUCCACCGCUUGUGCGGGCCCCCGUCAAUUCCUUUGAGUUUCAGUCUUGCGACCGUACUCCCCAGGCGGAGUGCUUAAUGUGUUGACGUCGGCACAGCAGGGGUCGAUACCCGCUACACCAAGCACUCAUCGUUUACGGCGUGGACUAC